rnacentral:lncRNA from 12 species
GGAAGCACACAAAAGCCCCAAUUAUUGCUACUUUUAGAGGAUGCUAGUGAAUGGGGGAUUUUGGCUCUGAUAUUAAUUGGCUUCCUUGAUCUCCCUCGGCCAGAAGUCAUUCUCUUUUGGAGCCACGGAGCACAUCUGUUGGGACACGUGAAAAUCUCGAGGUGGAAGAAAAGAUUGUCAGGUGGAGCUGAUCUAGAACACACCCAGAAAUGGAGACUCCAGCUGCUUGAGACACGACUGCACCCUGGACUUGCUAACUCCCACCGUAAAGCUGCCACAUGAGGUAUUCACGGGGUGGGGACUUUGGGCCGCAGAAAGGAAAUCUGUUAAAACCUCAUAACUGCCACUUCCACCCAGGCCAACCAACUCCUUGAGGCCAGAGGUGACAAAAAGAAGACUGAGUGAAGCAGGAGACACACAGAGCCCUGGAUUCUGAUCCAGCCUUGUCACUGGCCAGCUUUGUGGCGCUGGGCAUGGGUCACUGCUCUGGAACUUGGCUUACCUGUUUGCAAAAUGAGUUGGUAACACUCUUUGAUUUACGUCAUCCUGAAAAACAAAAACGU